rnacentral:misc_RNA from 1 species
UACGAAGGGUGCAAGCGUUGUUCGGAUUUACUGGGCGUAAAGCGCGCGCAGGCGGAUUUGUAAGUCAGAUGUGAAAUCUCGGGGCUCAACCUCGAAACUGCGUCUGAAACUACUAAUCUAGAGUAAUGGAGGGGGAAGUGGAAUUUCGCAUGUAGGGGUAAAAUCCGUAGAGAUGCGAAGGAACACCAGUGCCGAAGGGGACUUCCUGGACAUUUACUGACGCUGAGGCGCGAAAGCGUGGGGAGCAAACAGG